GGCAGACAGGCAAAGCAGCCAGUUGCUACUACAGUCAUCAUGUGAUAACAAGAAAGGUAGUUGCUGGAUGGUGACAGUAAGCGGCUAAGCACAGCACCACGGCACAACUAAGCACAAAAGCUUCCUUUGCUGCUUCUAUUCGAGUUGACAAACUAACAUUAGACGUGUCUUGCUUUAUGAUUUAUCGCAAUCUGUUGUAUAUGUGCUUUUUAAUUGUCAUGCCGGUCUAGCGGCUUUAAUUAGUGCACCCCCGUCAACAAUAUAAAUAAAUAAAAAGGAAACAGGAAGAAGCUAUAUAUAGAUAUAUAUAGCUAUUUAUGAAUAUACACGCAUAUAUUCUUGAGAGAUAAUUAAAAGAAAGAAAAAGAAAGUGUUUUUUCGCUUCUUUUUUCUUUUCUUUUCUCACAAACACAUGUGUCUCUAAUAAAUAUCAACAGCUGUACAAACUGAUAUAGUUGAAGAAGCGACAAGGAAAAUAAUUAAUUUGCCAAGAUGUUUAAGAAAAAGUCAAGCAAAUCCGACCUGGAGAUGGAAUACCAGUGCACUAUAAGGUUCUUGGAUGAUUCCGAACCUAUCCAACUAAAUUUUAAGAAAGACUCAACAGGACAAUGGCUGCUCGACCAAGUGUGUCAACGCCUAAAUUUGAUCGAAAAGGAUUAUUUUGGUCUUCGAUAUGUAGACAUGGAAAGACAAAGACAUUGGUUGGAUCCUAUCAAAACAGUUUAUAAACAGUUAAAAGAACUUAUAGUUUCUGCAAAGAAAAAUGACAAAGUCAGCCAUGAUUCUUCAAGUGUCAAUCCAAUGGUGCUGUGCUUCCGUGUGAAGUUUUACCCAGAAGAUCCCAUGUCACUACAUGAAGAAAUAACAAGAUACUGCUUGUUCCUGCAACUCCGAAGAGAUCUACAUCAUGGCCGUUUACUGUGCCCCCCAAGUGAUGCUAACCUUUUGGCAGCCUACAUAAUACAGUCCGAACUGGGUGACUAUGAUGAACAAGACCACCCUCCAGGAUAUGUUUCACAAUUUAAGAUGUUACCCAAGCAAAAUCUCAGAAUGGAAGAACAGAUUGCUGAAAUACACAAAACUCUUCAAAAACAAGUACCUGCUGAAGCGGAGAAGAACUUUCUGAAAAAAGCAGCCUCACUGGACACCUAUGGCAUUGACCCUCAUCAUGUAAAGGAUCAGAAAGGCAAUCCACUCUUUCUUGGAAUCACACAUCAAGGUAUUAUGACAUUCCAUGGUAACAGGAGAACCCACCUGUUCACAUGGAGUCAAAUGAAAAGAAUAGUCUACGAAGGCAAGAUGUUUAUUGUACACGUCAACACUGCUGAGGAUAUAAAUAUUGAAGAAACUGAAUUAUCUGAUGAGGAAGUCCCAAAGAAGAUGACUGGCAGCAAAUAUUUGUGCACUGGCACAGACAUGAAGCAACAACCUAUUGGUUACAAGUGCCCAACAACCAGUGCCUGUAAGUACUUGUGGCGAUGUGCUGUUGAACAACAGUUUUUCUUCACACUGUCCAGUUCAACAAAUGCUCCUAAAGUUCGGUCAGGAGGCAGUCUCUUAACUAGAGGUUCACGGUUUCGUUUCAGCGGGCGAUGUCAAACGGAGGCUAUUGCUGCCAGUGGUGGGAUAAGUCGUCCGGAACCUGCUUUUACUCGUUCCUCAUCUCUACCAAACUUUAACCACAAGAGAGAUUCUAAAGUACCUCUACGUAAUAUGUCAAUGACCCGAGACGCUGCUAUUAAAGAAGCAAAAGCAAGAUAUCAUGAACUGCCAGUGGAUGUUCCUGGGAAAGUAGAACAAGAGGAACACAUCAGCCCCGAUAAAAUGAAUACAUCCAAAAGUGCACCAAUUGCUUCAAGUGAAAGCUCUUCUGAAGAGAAGACACUGACACAAGACGUCGAUGCAUUAACAGGAGAAGCAUCUCCGGUUUCAGUACAAGAAGCUCUACAAGUUCCUGGCGACCUUCAAAAGAGCAGUACUCCUGGAUCCGAAUCAUCUGAUGUUGUUCUAGCUGAAUCUCUCAAUAUGGAACCGGUACCCGCGAUGAAAAUGUCUCUGGAUGAACAGAUCAAAGAACUGGAGCAACAUUGGGUACAGACACAGAACAGCCACUUUUCGCCACUAUCGCAGGUCGAGGCAUCAGCUGUGUCAAACGAGAAGACGGCAGCAACAACGCCAACGUCAAGCGCAAAUGCAAAAGCUCCUUCACUGCUAGAUCGUUUAUAUAAGUGCAAACCCAACAUGAUGUACGUAUCUGCUGUGAUUGCCUUGAUUAUUGCACUGGUGUUGAUUGUGGUGCUUGCUUCAAGCAUUCAACAUCCUAUUAUGGCUCUGAUUAGGCGGCAAUUCAACCUUGAGCCAAUGAGUGACUACAUUAACGACAAGGAAUGACAUUGAGUGUCAUUGAAUGCUAAAUUUACCAUCUAGCUGUUGGCAUCAACUCAAACCAACUUUGACACACGUGUUUGGCUCAUUUAGAAACAUUUCUCAGAGAAAAGAGUUUAAAAUGAUUCAAUCUUCCUGGUUCUUGCCUAUUUUUGCCCCAGCUUAAGUCAUCUUUGGUUAUUGUUAUUAUUUUUGUCUCCAUAAAUUGCUUUUUAUUUUAUUUUUCUAAAAGAUUGUUAUUUAUUAUACUUCGAUGUGUAAUUGCUGUAUAAUUCGCUUCCAUUUCGGCUACUAUUUUUUUUAUCUGAUUGUUUAUUAUGUUCUUUUUGCUGUUUCUUUUUUGUCAUUUUGUUAAUUUAUUAUUUUGAAAAAUUUCCUUUUUUUUUUAUCAUCAUACCAUCUGUCUGUAUGUGUUGUGAAGGGAAUCAUUUUUAACUCAAAGUUAAGUGUUAAAUGCAAAGAAAAUGUUUAAAAAGGACAAAAGACUUCAACAGUGAAACAACUCAAUCAA
rnacentral:misc_RNA from 1 species